rnacentral:rRNA from 1 species
GACGAACGCUGGCGGCGUGCUUAACACAUGCAAGUCGAACGGAAAGGCCCUGCUUUUGUGGGGUGCUCGAGUGGCGAACGGGUGAGUAACACGUGAGUAACCUGCCCUUGACUUUGGGAUAACUUCAGGAAAAUGGGGCUAAUACCGGAUAGGAGCUCCUGCUGCAUGGUGGGGGUUGGAAAGUUUCGGCGGUUGGGUAUGGACUCGCGGCUUAUCAGCUUGUUGGUGGGGUAGUGGCUUACCAAGGCUUUGACGGGUAGCCGGCCUGAGAGGGUGACCGGCCACAUUGGGACUGAGAUACGGCCCAGACUCCUACGGGAGGCAGCAGUGGGGAAUAUUGCACAAUGGGCGGAAGCCUGAUGCAGCAACGCCGCGUGCGGGAUGACGGCCUUCGGGUUGUAAACCGCUUUCGCCUGUGACGAAGCGUGAGUGACGGUAAUGGGUAAAGAAGCACCGGCUAACUACGUG